CUUCUCUACACCGCCCCUCCCCCUCCCCCGCGCCUACUGAGGAGGAGCUUGCGCGAGCGCACCUCAUUCGGCUCUCCCACACUCUGAGGAGAUUUACACCACUUGACAAACCUGUGAGCUCUACAGCAUCUUCUACAACGCAUUGACCCACUCUUCCCUAGCACCUCACCCGAUUGACCAACGCUCUCCUAACACCACGCCUGACCAACGCUCCUAUAACACCACGCCUGACCAACGCUCCCCUAACACACACACAUUGACCCACGCUCCCCAAACAUCACGAAUUGACCCACGCUCCCCAAACAUCACGAAUUGACCCACGCUCCCCUAACAUCACGAAUUGACCCACGCUCCCCUAACAUCACGAAUUGACCCACGCUCCCCUAACAUCACGAAUUGACCCACGCUCCCCAAACAUCACAAAUUGACCCACGCUCCCCUAACAUCACGAAUUGACCCACGCUCCCCUAACAUCACGAAUUGACCCACGCUCCCCAAACAUCACGAAUUGACCCACGCUCCCCUAACAUCACGAAUUGACCCACGCUCCCCAAACAUCACGAAUUGACCCACGCUCCCCAAACAUCACGAAUUGACCCACGCUCCCCUAACACACACACAUUGACCCACGCUCCCCUAACACCACGCCUGACCAACGCUCCCCUAACAUCACGAAUUGACCCACGCUCCCCAAACAUCACGAAUUGACCCACGCUCCCCAAACAUCACGAAUUGACCCACGCUCCCCAAACAUCACGAAUUGACCCACGCUCCCCAAACAUCACGAAUUGACCCACGCUCCCCAAACAUCACGAAUUGACCCACGCUCCCCUAACAUCACGAAUUGACCCACGCUCCCCAAACAUCACGAAUUGACCCACGCUCCCCUAACAUCACGAAUUGACCCACGCUCCCCUAACAUCACGAAUUGACCCACGCUCCCCAAACAUCACGAAUUGACCCACGCUCCCCAAACAUCACGAAUUGACCCACGCUCCCCAAACAUCACGAAUUGACCCACGCUCCCCAAACAUCACGAAUUGACCCACGCUCCCCUAACACCACAAAUUGACCCACGCUCCCCUAACACCACGCCUGACCAACGCUCCCCUAACAUCACGAAUUGACCCACGCUCCCCAAACAUCACGAAUUGACCCACGCUCCCCAAACAUCACGAAUUGACCCACGCUCCCCAAACAUCACGAAUUGACCCACGCUCCCCAAACAUCACGAAUUGACCCACGCUCCCCAAACAUCACGAAUUGACCCACGCUCCCCUAACACCACAAAUUGACCCACGCUCCCCCAACACCACGCCUGACCAACGCUCCCCUAACAUCACGAAUUGACCCACGCUCCCCAAACAUCACGAAUUGACCCACGCUCCCCAAACAUCACGAAUUGACCCACGCUCCCCAAACAUCACGAAUUGACCCACGCUCCCCAAACACCACGAAUUGACCCACGCUCCCCAAACAUCACGAAUUGACCCACGCUCCCCUAACAUCACGAAUUGACCCACGCUCCCCAAACAUCACGAAUUGACCCACGCUCCCCAAACAUCACGAAUUGACCCACGCUCCCCUAAUACACACACAUUGACCCACGCUCCCCUAACACCACGCCUGACCAACGCUCCCCAAACAUCACAAAUUGACCCACGCUCCCCUAACAUCACCUCCAUAACCUGCUCUGAACCCUGUUUUUACUGUUGCAAAUUUCCUGUUGUCACUUUUUUACAGGUCUGACAUUUUCAACAGACUGUUGAACCUACCUCAUCUACAGUUGAAGACAGAAACUUCACCCAUAAUUUUUUCAUAACUUAUUAAAAGCCUAUUCAUUUUGACAACACACA